UGAGGAAUAUUGGUCAAUGGACGCAAGUCUGAACCAGCCAAGUAGCGUGCAGGAUGACGGCCCUAUGGGUAGUAAACUGCUUUUAUAGGGGGAUAAAGUGGGGAACGUGUUCCCUUUUGCAGGUACCAUAUGAAUAAGGACCGGCUAAUUCCGUGCCAGCAGCCGCGGUAAUACGGAAGGUUCGGGCUUUAUCCGGAUUUAUUGGGUUUAAAGGGAGCGUAGGCCGUUUGGUAAGCGUGUUGUGAAAAGUAGGAGCUCAACUUCUAGAUUGCAGCGCGAACUGUCAGACUUGAGUGCGCACAACGUAGGCGGAAUUCAUGGUGUAGCGGUGAAAUGCUUAGAUAUCAUGAGGAACUCCGAUGGCGAAGGCAGCUUACGGGAGCGCAACUGACGCUGAAGCUCGAAGGUGCGGGUAUCGAACAGG
rnacentral:rRNA from 1 species